GACGAACGCUGGCGGCGUGCUUAACACAUGCAAGUCGAACGGAAAGGCCCUGCUUUUGUGGGGUGCUCGAGUGGCGAACGGGUGAGUAACACGUGAGUAACCUGCCCUUGACUUUGGGAUAACUUCAGGAAACUGGGGCUAAUACCGGAUAGGAGCUCCUGCUGCAUGGUGGGGGUUGGAAAGUUUCGGCGGUUGGGGAUGGACUCGCGGCUUAUCAGCUUGUUGGUGGGGUAGUGGCUUACCAAGGCUUUGACGGGUAGCCGGCCUGAGAGGGUGACCGGCCACAUUGGGACUGAGAUACGGCCCAGACUCCUACGGGGGGCAGCAGGGGGGAAUAUUGCACAAGGGGCGGAAGCCUGAUGCAGCAACGCCGCGUGGGGGAUGACGGCCUUCGGGUUGUAAACCGUUUUCCCCUGUGACGAAGGGUGGGUGGCGGUAAUGGGUAAAGAAGCACCGGCUAACUACGG
rnacentral:rRNA from 1 species